GUGAAAAAAAUGGUGCAAGCCUUGCAUAGUAUAACACUGGCCUGGCUGUCAUCCAUGGUGUAUUGUUAUCGUCGUUUUCACGGACGUCGCGGUAGACCGACUUCGUCGAGGAUUUCAUUCGCGCCACCCGGUGUACACGUCAUAAUGCAUUAUAGCGACGCCACUAUAGACGCUGUUCUGGCCGUAGUAAGGUAGUGACCGAUGCUGUAGGAUUCAGGUGUGCCUCACGGCACAGACGCUCUCAGUUUAGCGGCGGUAGCCCACGCGAAUCGCCAGUGUUCCCUUUGACAGUGUCGUUUACCUCGGCCACGAUGACGAAACCAAAGUCGAAAGUAAUUCAGUUGCGGUGCUACCGGCAGUCGUUUCAAAGUUUCCCCGGUCUGUGAUAAAGCUCGUGAACUUGGACGCGGACGAUAAACAGCGACCAUCGACGGGGAAACUAGUCGGCGAGCCUCCCGAAUGGAAAACAGCGCUUGCUAAACAGUGUAAACAGUGACACAUCCUCGCUUUACACCUGCCGGCACCCUAAAUCCGAAUGACACCGUGAGCAGUACGAUUUUCCUACAGGGCUUCUUUGAUAAGAUUGUGUGGUACACAAAAUUGAUUUGUUUCAAAGGAAAUAAUACACGAGGCAGAAACGAAGAAAGGGAAAAGACUUUUUUCAAUAGAAGCGAGUAAUAGAAAGAAGCGAAGAAUUAAACGUGUAGUAGAAACUAAGGUGAGAUUAAUAAAAUUAGGUAGAAGACAAACAAAGUGGUAUUUUAAUGAAAGCGAUUGAUAGAAAAAAUAACAGGACUGAAAAUACGAAAAUAGAAACUCAGGGGAAAUUAUAUAGUUUCAUCAAACGAGGCAGUUCAAUCGUUCACGAAGCAAGAAGAAUUGAAAACGAAAGCAAUUUUCUUAAAGAAACAAAUAGUAAAGCAAUGUAAAGAAUAAAAAAAUUUACUACAAUUUGUAAGUCAAUUGUGUUUAAUAUAUAACUUUCCUAAAGAUGGUUUAAAUAGCAAGAUUGGAACAUUUAAGAACAUUGGAAUAUGUGCUUGAUAAUAAACCACUCUUUGUCUUCAAAUUGAAUUUAUAUCGUACAAGCAACUAUCUACGAUUUGGGAAUUUCCACAGUCCAGAGUGUCGAGUUUCGUGUCCUCAUCUGUCGCUUUUUAAAGUAUUGUGUUCCGUUAAGCUGCUCGUUCGGCAAGUUUCUGUUUUCCCUACCUGAAUUUGAUAUUUCAAGUGCUCUUGUGUAUCUCCAGAGGAAGUCAUCUCGAGAACCAUCGGUUUAGAAUCACGCUAACCCAUUAAGUACCUAUUUAGGUGUCCCCUUUACCAAGAUUUAUUCGAAUGUGACAUUUAUACUUUUUUUUAUAAUAUUAGAUAGACUGGAAUGUAAUGUCGUUUUUGCAAUUUUAAAUACUUGUUUAACGAUCAUUAGCUCAUUCAUUUACCGAUUUGGCUUUCAAAAUUUGCACACUAAUAAAUAAUCGCAGUCCACUCAAAAAUAACGAGAGCGAUUACAUAAUUGAUUAAAAAUAGAAAUUUAUUAAUUGUUUGAAUUUAAUAUAAAAGAAACGACAUUACUUUCCAGUCUACCUAAUAUAUUGGAAA